ensembl:lncRNA
GAGGUGAUCUUUGGCUUUUGGGAGCUUCGUUGCGUGGGGCAAGUUUUUCCUCAGAUGUUUACGUUACCGGUGAACACUGGAGAGGAGAAAGUGAAGCGUAGGCACAUGAGGUGCAAGGCGUGUGACUUCAGAGCCCUUUGAAGACGUUCCAGGGUGUACUUAACGCUUUGUGAGCGUUAAUCCUACAAUUAAUUAUCACACAAAGAAGCUAAAGCACUUUAAAGCUUUGCGGUUAUUUUACGAAGGUUCCCCUGUGCUACUGUAUAGAGGCAGAACUAACACAAGCCCCUAGUAUCUGUGCGUGCUGUUGUAUCAGUGACCUCCAAAGAAGGAAAAAAAAGAAUUAAAGUGGCAAAGGAAUCAUACAGAGGAGUCUGAGGAGGGUACUGAAAGCACUCCCCAGAGGCCUUUGCUGACUGCGACAGUGACAUUGUGUGUAUUACAAGCAAAUAUAGUAGUUUGGCUGUAAUCUUAGCUCCUACUGCCCACACAGAUUCAUGAACUGUCUUGUCUUAACCUUGCAUGUUGGCAACUGGGAAGCUUGAAAGAAUAAAUGACAUAAAAAGUGCCAAUCCAAAUGCUUCAACUUCAGAGGCACUGAAAAGCCUCUUCAGUCUUUGUGGAAAGAAAGUUGUGCACAACCGAGUGUGCGGAGCUGAGGUAUUGCAUCAUGCGGAAAUACCUCCAACUACAGCUGCACUGGAAUGGACGAUGAAGUAUGGGCUCUGAAUUGUCUGUCUCCAUUUCCUGUCUGCAUGGCUUUGAAAGAACUGGUGAAUAUUUUGCCUGAGUUAGGGUGCGUGUCUUAUUUAUUCCUGCUUGCUGUCCCUCUACGGUUUGGUUGUAAUCCUGUGAUCUACUGAAGAACAGCAACAAAAAAGGACUGUCACAACUGCUUGCAUCUUCACAAUCUUCUGGAUUGUGUUACUCUCCAAGACCAACACAUUCUUGUCCAUUGAGAAAUGCCCCAGGGAUCUUUUCCUCUAUCUAUCUUUGCAAUCCUCCACCGGAAGGAAUUUUCUAGAAUAAGGCUUCUUAGCUCAUUUCAAAAUUCAUUUGCUUAUUAUAUGAGUGAUGGGCCUGUAAAAAAAACAGAACUGAUAAGGAAAGUUUAGAAAGCUUAGAUACUAUGGUGUUGCUGAUCUGCCACAUUUCUGUUCACACAGGUUUGGAAAACUUUCAUACUUUCUUUUCCCUUAGCUGUAACAAAUUUAACUUUCAGAGAUUUUUCUGCCUUCCCUCCAAGCUGGCAAGAUGCUUCCCAAAUUACUUUCCUUAGCACUGCUACUCUUUUACAAAGGCAGGUUAUGUGGGUAGUUAACUUGUGUGUGAAGGGAAGCAGUAACUGAAUGUGUGCUGAAGCGAGAUGCCCUUGGACAGCAUAAUGGGAUAUGAGGGAAAUGCUCAGUUUUGUUGUUCGGCAGCAUUGUCUCUGGCAGCUAAUGCAGAAACAGAACAGAUAAUGAUCCUGAGUGAGCUGCUUUAUCUAAUCUAUGUAUACCAAACUGAACGGUUAUCUUUGCUUUAAUUUGUCUCUUUUUUAUUUGUAAUGACACCUAUGGAUAAGGAUUAAAUGCAUUACCAAAUUAGAGGAAUUCUGCAGCGCUCAUUCCAGUGCUGUAAAUAAAGAUCAUUACAUCAUGAAAUCUCAAAUUCAGUAAAAGCUGAAUGCAGGACUUAGCCAACAUAUAUAUUUUUCAGUUGUUUUGCUCUUUUUAUUUGCUGCUCCUUCAUUUAGUGUGUAUUGGAUGCUAUCAUUUUAACUUUUAAUCCACAUGGAGUAUACUAGAGUUUAAGCUGCUCCUCAACAUGCUUAAAACAGAGCAAGAAAAAAGAAAGGAGAAUGAGUAUGAGCUGCAGAGCAGACAUGAAGGCAAUACAGUUGACUUCUGGAAUUGCAGCUGGAAUGUUGUGGAAUUUGAUACAGAUGGAAAAUAGAAGUUUAAAAGUGUAAAAUUUCCAGUGUGGGUGCCAUUUCAAGUAGGCUGUGUGGGUGGAGAAUGGUGCUAAAUGCCAAGCAGACAAGUAGAACUGAGAGUCUCUUUCCAACUAGUAACAGACAGCUAGCAGUGGAAAAAAAAUAAUAAUAAUAGUAGUUUAAAUGUCCCAAUGCAGCUGUUUUGUAAUAAAUCACUAAUAGUUCUGGGUAAAGC